rnacentral:tRNA from 1 species
GUAUACAUAGUUUAAACAAAAUAUUAGGCUGUGAUCCUAAAAAUGAAAGUUAAACCCUUUCUGUGAACC